UGCAUGUGUAAGCGUAGUGAUACGUUCAGCUUGGCAGUACUAAUAGGUCGAGGGCUUGACCAU
rnacentral:rRNA from 1 species